rnacentral:lncRNA from 1 species
GAAAAUGAAGACUUACUAAAAUGCUUAUUUUUGUCUCUUCUUACCCUUUCAGCUAAGCAUAAGGCUCUUAAAGUACAUUGCUGUAAAUAUUUAAAUUCGCAUUUUUUUUUUUUUUUUUUUUUUUUGAGAUGGUGUCUGGCUCUGUUGCCCAGGCUGGAUUGCAGUGACGCGGUCUUGGCUUACUGCCACCUCCACCUCCCAGGCUGAGGUGAGAGAAUCAUUUGAACCCAGGUGAUAAUCAUGCCACUGCACUCCAGCCUGGCGGAGUGAGGCCCUGUCUCGUCGUAAUAAUAUGUGGAGUUCUGCAGAACAUACUACUAUAUAAAAACAGCGAGUCAGCUAGGCACCGUGGCUCACGCCUGUAAUCCCAGCACUUUGGGAGGCUGAGGCGGGCAGAUCAGUUGAGGCCAGCAGUUCAAGACCCACCUGGCCAACAUGGUGAAACCACGUCUCUACUAAAAAUACAAAAAUUGGUUGGGCGUGGUGGCGCACACUCAGCUGCUCAGGUAGCUGAGGCACAAGAAUCGCUUGAACCCGGGAGGUGGAGGUUGCAGUGAGCUGGGAUCAAUCGUGCCACUGCACUUCAGCCUGGGUGACAAAGCGAGACUGUUUC